UUACAGCAAAUAAAGAUUAGGGCAAUGU
rnacentral:piRNA from 1 species